AUCCGCGACGCCCGCCCCGCCCCCGGGCCCGUGAGGAGGCUGGGGUCCCGGGAGGGGGAGGGAACCGCAGCGCCUGCUCCCAGACCGUGAGCCCGGAUCUUGUUAAAAUACGUAUUUGAUUGGUUAAGAAUCCUCCUGCCAAUGCAGG